UACGUAGGUGGCGAGCGUUGUCCGGAUUUACUGGGCGUAAAGGGAGCGUAGGCGGACUUUUAAGUGAGAUGUGAAAUACUCGGGCUCAACUUGAGUGCUGCAUUUCAAACUGGAAGUCUAGAGUGCAGGAGAGGAGAAUGGAAUUCCUAGUGUAGCGGUGAAAUGCGUAGAUAUCAGGAGGAAUACCGUUAGCGAAGGCGGCAAUCUGGCUGGAAACUGACGCUGAGGUGCGAAAGCGUGGGUAGCAAACAGG
rnacentral:rRNA from 1 species